rnacentral:rRNA from 1 species
UACGGAGCAGGCAAGCGUUCUCCGGAAUUAUUGGGCGUAAAGCGUCCGUAGGUGGUUCACCAAGUCUGCUGUCAAAGGGUGGGGCUUAACCUCAUAAAGGCAGUGGAAACUGGUGAGCUAGAGUGCGGUAGGGGUAAGGGGAAUUCCCAGUGUAGCGGUGAAAGGCGUAGAGAUUGGGAAGAACAUCGGUGGCGAAAGCGCCUUACUGGGCCUGCACUGACACUGAGGGACGAAAGCUAGGGGAGCGAAAGGG